GGGUUGUGAGGUUAAGCGACUAAGCGUACACGGUGGAUGCCCUGGCAGUCAGAGGCGAUGAAGGGCGUGCUAAUCUGCGAUAAGCGCCGGUAAGGUGAUAUGAACCGUUAUAACCGGCGAUACCCGAAUGGGGAAACCCAGUGUGACUCGUCACACUAUCAUUAACUGAAUCCAUAGGUUAAUGAGGCGAACCGGGGGAACUGAAACAUCUAAGUACCCCGAGGAAAAGAAAUCAACCGAGAUUCCCCCAGUAGCGGCGAGCGAACGGGGAGGAGCCCAGAGCCUGAAUCAGCAUGUGUGUUAGUGGAAGCGUCUGGAAAGGCGCGCGAUACAGGGUGACAGCCCCGUACACAAAAGCGCACAUGCUGUGAGCUCGAUGAGUAGGGCGGGACACGUGGUAUCCUGUCUGAAUAUGGGGGGACCAUCCUCCAAGGCUAAAUACUCCUGACUGACCGAUAGUGAACCAGUACCGUGAGGGAAAGGCGAAAAGAACCCCGGCGAGGGGAGUGAAAAAGAACCUGAAACCGUGUACGUACAAGCAGUGGGAGCCCCACCACUAAGCCAGUGGUGAACUCCACAUACGCAUCCUUUGCUGAGGAUACGGUUAACGGAGCGAAAGCGACGUUCAACCUCAAAAGAAGCAGAGGGGGCUUAGUGGUGGGGUGACUGCGUACCUUUUGUAUAAUGGGUCAGCGACUUAUAUUCUGUAGCAAGGUUAACCGUAUAGGGGAGCCGGAGGGAAACCGAGUCUUAAUUGGGCGUUAAGUUGCAGGGUAUAGACCCGAAACCCGGUGAUCUAGCCAUGGGCAGGUUGAAGGUUGGGUAACACUAACUGGAGGACCGAACCGACUAAUGUUGAAAAAUUAGCGGAUGACCUGUGGCUGGGGGUGAAAGGCCAAUCAAACCGGGAGAUAGCUGGUUCUCCCCGAAAGCUAUUUAGGUAGCGCCUCGUGAAUUCAUCUCCGGGGGUAGAGCACUGUUUCGGCUAGGGGGCCAUCCCGGCUUACCAACCCGAUGCAAACUGCGAAUACCGGAGAAUGUUAUCACGGGAGACACACGGCGGGUGCUAACGUCCGUCGUGAAGAGGGAAACAACCCAGACCGCCAGCUAAGGUCCCAAAGUCAUGGUUAAGUGGGAAACGAUGUGGGAAGGCCCAGACAGCCAGGAUGUUGGCUUAGAAGCAGCCAUCAUUUAAAGAAAGCGUAAUAGCUCACUGGUCGAGUCGGCCUGCGCGGAAGAUGUAACGGGGCUAAACCAUGCACCGAAGCUGCGGCAGCGAACGUAUCACUUAAAGCGAUUCAGCGGAUGACGAUUGACGGAGCGAAGCGACGUCAAAGCGUAUACAAAGUCGAGUCGGUUUAAGGAUACGUU
rnacentral:rRNA from 1 species